UGCGACGGGUGAGUAACGCGUGGGGAACCUGCCCUGUACAGGGGGAUAACACUUAGAAAUAGGUGCUAAUACCGCAUAAGCGCACAGUAUCGCAUGAUACAGUGUGAAAAACUCCGGUGGUACAGGAUGGACCCGCGUCUGAUUAGCUGGUUGGCGGGGUAACGGCCCACCAAGGCGACGAUCAGUAGCCGGCCUGAGAGGGUGAACGGCCACAUUGGGACUGAGACACGGCCCAAACUCCUACGGAAGGCAGCAG
rnacentral:rRNA from 1 species